CGAGAGGAGCGCCGAGAGGCGAGAGGAGCACCGAGAGGCGAGAGGAGCACGUGGAGCAGGCCCGGCGGCGCCCUUCCGCGGGCCGGAUCCGGAAGACGGUCCCCACGAUGAAGACGGAGGAGACGGAGACCACCGAGAGGGGAAUGCUUAGGCUGAUGAAGCUGAUGGCGUACAGAGCGCUCUGGUGAACGUGCGUGUCCGCGCAAGCCAGGCGCAUGGCAGCGGGCAUGUGGCGGAAGAAGUGGUAGAUUUCACUAUUGUUGCAGAACGGGAGGCGGAAGAUUAAAGCAGUCAGCGGUAGCGACAGCAAGAACCCUAGUACCAGGGCCCCCACCAUCAGCGCCACACACAAGGGCCCGCUCAUGAGGAGGGUGUACCCUAAAGGGUAACGGAUCGCUAUCAACCGCUCGUAAGCCAUGGCUGCGAGCAGGACGCCGUCAGCCCCUCCCAGGAAGACGAAGAAAAACAUCUGGGCACCACAUCCGGCGAUAGAAAUGGGGGUUGUGCCCAUUGAAAGAAGGUUUGCCAAGGCCAGGGGCGUGAUGCAAGAUGUACAGAGGAUUUCCAGAGCUGCCAGGUGAAGACAUACAGGACUAAAAAGGUUAAAGAGUGCUUGAACUCACGAAAGCACUAAAUCCUUUCAUGGUGACGUCAGCUCCUCAAGACCAGCAGAAAACCUUUUGGAAAUAAGCACUUGAUUGAACUCCCCCUACACUGAGAUCAUAUUUGCUGACCUUCUCCCACUACCUCCUUGGAGCAGUUUCUCAGCUCUCUGAGGGGCUGUCCCCCAGGCUGCAGUCCUCAUUUUGCCCCCAAUAAAACUUUACUCCUAACUCUCACGUUGUGCAUCUUUUGGUAGUUGACAUAUCUAACAGCUCUAAUUUGAUCCUAGUAUCUUACAUUGUGCUUCCUGGUGGCUCAGCUGGUAAAGAAUCCGCCUGCAAUGUGGGAGACCUGGGUUCGAUCCCUGGGUCAGGAAGAUCCCCUGGAGAAGGGAAUGACAACCCACUCCAGUAUCUUGCCUGGACAAUUCCAUGGAUAGAGGAGCCUGGCGGGCUACAGUACGUGGGGUCAAAAAUAGUUGGACAUGACUGAGCAACUUAUGCUCUUACAUUUAACAUCUCAAAGCCAGAACUUUUCACCCACCAUCUGCUCAGGUGUCAUGCAUUGAAC
ensembl:lncRNA